ensembl:snoRNA
GUAAUGUGAUGAUAAGCCAUUAGAACUGACUUAAACAAUGGAGGUUUUAAUUAGCUCUACCUGAUU